rnacentral:lncRNA from 1 species
GUCGCGGGAGCCAAGGCUCCAGGCAGCGAAGAGGUUUGGCUGGGGUUGCUGGAGUCUGAGAAGCUGGAGACUCUCCCGGCACGCGGAGAGGAGAACCCGGGGACCCGGAGACCUGGGACAUGGCUGGGCCUGGGAAGAGAAUGGAAGAGUUUGGGAAACCCUGAGGGUAUGAGGGCGCCCCAGAUGCGGCCACGUUGCAGGGAGGCGUGCGAGGCUGGGGCACACGCAGCCUCGGAGACGACUUGAGCUGAAACUUGGGGAGUGUUGGAAGUCUUUCUUGGCUCCCCGGCCUGGCCAAGGGUAGGAUUACAGAUAGCCGCGGAGUCGGUGGACCCCCGCUUUUUCCCGCCAUCUGGUCUCCUCAGCUGGGGGUCGCGCCUCUGGGCAGAUCUGUGGCCACACUCUUGCUUUCCGAGUUCCCUGACCCCAAACAUGCUUCAGAUGAAGAAAAAGGCUCAACCAGGUUAAAUAAUUUGACCGAAAUGUCACGCAAUUAAGAAGUGGUACAGCUGGGAAUUCAGACGCAGGUCCCUCUGACUGGUGAUAAACUUACUACUUUCUCUAUGGUUUCUGUUUGUGUUUAAUGAUGAUAAAAGGUACAAUUGCAUUUUCCUUACUCCUAGUUCCCCAAGUCCAGCCCUUCACUAUUUCUAACCUAAUGUUAGGCUCCAAUCUAGUCUCGAUUUCCCACCAACCCAGCUCACAACAUUGCCAGCCUGACCGGAAACCUGCAGUGCCACCUAAACUUUUAAUGUCCAUAGAAAUCCGAGGGUUCUUUUGCUCCCUCAAAAGCGCAGAUUUUUAUCUCCCAUGUCUGGACUGGGCCCAAGAUUCUGCAAUGCUAACAAGCUCUCACAUGGUGAUGAUGUUUAGAUCACACUUUUAAGUCGCAAGGGUCUGAAUCAAGCUCCAUCAUUUAAGACCUGUCUCAAAUCUCACCUCCAUUGACCCUUCCUAGUUGCUCCAAGCCCUCCUUCAAACUCCUCCAAUGUGAGCAGCGCUCACACUGUAGUUCUUUCUUCUUAUUUCAUAUAUUUCAUUUGUUUUGUGUGCCCAUAUUAGGUCCUUGAGGGCAGAGAUCCAGCCUCUCUUACAUGAGAAUGAUUCAGGUAGGAUGGCAGGAGUCUGAGGGCAAGCUUUUUAUACAUUUUGUCCAUUGCUGUAUCCCCAGAGACUAGGUUCAUGGCAUGUAGUAGGCCCUCAAUAAAUAAUUGUUGAAUGAAUGAAUGAACUUCUUUUGAAUUCUCCACUGAGGUUACUAGGUGCAUAAUGUAUACACUAUAUAUUUUAUUGAUGUCAGGUUAAACCCCUAGGCAUUGCCCUUACUGAACAUUUAAAUUGUUCAGUUUAUUGUGUGUUACAUCUUUCAUUAUUUAGUCUCCAAAAUUCUUUCCUGCUAGUUUAAUUUCACAACUACUUAUGAGCCAGUUGUAUAAUUUUGAUAGAUAAGUAAAUUAAGCAUAUCAGAGAAAUGACUUUCUCUGACAUCAUUCUGGGCCAGAGUUAUGUAACUAUGUGGAAGAAUAAAAGCUUAAUGCUGAGACCUGGAAUAUUGAGACAUUUCCUGAAAGACAUUGCAUUUGAGAUCUUAGUGAGCUUUUUAGCCUUUAUUUAGGUUUACUGCUAUUAAAUAAAGCAUCAGUUGUUGUUAUAAUUGAUAGAGAUCACUUGAGUUUUUACAUGGGAUUGCUUGUGGGCUUUUAAAUGAUUUUUCCUGUGUGUGUGUGUGUGUGUGUCUGUGUCUGUGUGUGUGUGUGUAUCUAUAAAUUAAAUCUUGUGAAGGUGUCAACAUUUGAAAACAAUUCAAAUUUUAUGAGCAUUAGAAACUUUUUUUCCACUUUGAACUGGAUUAUUUCUCAAAUUCUUAAAUAAAAUGACAAGAAAUUCAAGUACGCUUUUGUUACACACACACACAAAGGAAACUUAAAUAUUUUACUUCAAAUUGUCAGCCCAGGCCAGGCGUGGUGCCUCACCCCUGUUCCCAGCACUUUGGGAGGCCGAGGCGGGCAGGUUACCUGAGGUCAGGAGUUUGAGACCAGCCUGGCCAACAUGGCGAAACCCCAUCUCUACUAAAAAUACAAAAAUUAGCUGGACAUGGUGGUGUGUGCCUGUAAUCCCAGCUACUCUGGAAGCUGAGGCAGGAGAAUUGCUUGAACCUGGGAGGCAGAAGUUGCAGUGAGCUGAGAUCAUGCCACUGUACUCCGCCCUGGGCCACAGAGCGAGACUCCAUCUCCAAAAAAAAAAAAAAAAAAAAGUCAGCCCAGAGUCUGAAAAUAUAUUACAGUGUAUUCCCGUAGUUUAAUGGAAAACGUUUCUUGAGGAGAGACACAACUUAUGCUUUUUGGUCACACGUAGAGUGUAACAUAGCACCUCAGAAAGGAUUUGGUACCUGCUUGAUUGAUGUGAUCUGAAUGGCUGUGAAUACUUAAUAACCAUAUAAAUAAAAUAAGAUUAUACACAGAUUAGGUAAGGUUUUGAGUAACAUUAUACACAGAUUAGGUAAGGUUAGUGAAUUUCAAGUUAGACAGUGUUCUUGAGGCCUCAAAACUUAAUAAUUUACAUUUGGCACCUGGUUUCAAUUUCCUGACAUUUGUCAUACCCUCUAUUCAGGUUGAGUAUCCCUUAUCCAAAAUGCUUAGGACAAGAAGUGCUUCAGAUUUUGGAUGUUUUUGGAGUUUGGAAUAAUUGCAUAUACGUAAUAUCUUGGGUAUGGGACACAAGUCUGAACAUUAAAUUCGUUUAUGCUUCAGAUACACCUUAUAUACAUAGCCUGAUGAUAGUUUUAUACAAUAUUUUUAAUUUGUACAUGAAACAAAGUUGGUAUACAUUGAACCAUCAGAAAGCAAAGGUGUCAGGUAUGGAAUUUUCUACUUGUGAUAUCAUGUCAGCACUCAAAAAGUUUCCAAUUUUGGAGCAUUUUAGAUUUCAGAUUUUCAGAUUAGGGAUGCUCAACCUGUAUUAAAUAUUUAACUUUACCCAUGUUUACAAAUAUUUACUGAAUUGACUGGUUCUUAGCUAAAGUGUAGGUAGAUGGAAAUAGCCAAACUUUAAUACAGGCGGCAGUGAAAUAAGGGCAUGUUUUUCAACUAGGACCAAUUAUGCCUUCUGGAGAACAUUUCUGGGUAUCACAAAUAGGCAGGUAGGUGCUACUGGCAUCUAGAGAGUGGAGGCCAGGGAUGCUGUUAAACAUCUUACGACGCACAGGGCAGUCCCCACAAGAAAGAACUAUUCAGUCCACAAUGUCAAUAAUGAUAAGGUUUGAGAAACCAUGCUCCGCACUUUUUGCAUUAGGAGCUACUAACCAAGAAACAGACUUGAAAAUCAUUGUUCUCUGAAGAUUUUAGCUCAGUGUUGUGGCUGGGACCAAAUAAAGAAAAGACUCAUAAGAUAUUGAGCCACAUCAAGUGGGUAAUAGAAACAAAGCAGUAUUCUUAUUUUACCUCUGUAAUGAACCAUAGAUCAUCUGCCCCCUAAAAGUGAAUACAACUUAAUGAAAAAUAGUGUUGAACAGAAAAUAACUUUAAGUAAAAAAAUAAUGAUUUUUUAAAAAAAUUAAUUACUGAGCAUGUUCUAAUAUACCAGGCAUUACCUAGCCUUCAAAUAUGUUAACUCAUCAUGAUAAAUUUGACCUCUUAUUCUACUUUACAAAAUUUAAAGGUAGGAUUUCACAUUUUGGACUUACACAUUUUGAGCCUAGUGACUAUGAUGAAAUGGAUAAAAUGUAUAUAUGUAUGAAAUAUAAUGGCAAAUUGAUAUACUUACCUGAGUAUUUGAAACUAAAGAAAAUUAUCUGGGUAAUUCUAGAAGCUCACCAUCCAGUGAUGGGAAUAUUUUGAUUCAGGCUGCGGAGUCUACUGAUAUUUGGAAGUACAACAUUCAAGGGCCAUUUUUUAUUUUAAUAAAAGCAUAGAUGAUACCUCAAAUUUACUGUUUACUCUCAUUGGACAUCAAGUUGGAAACCAUGUUAUGAUAGUUCUUGCAGAUGUCAUAUGUAUCGUUGCUAUUGUUCCAGCAUAGCAUCCCAAGAAGAAACCUAUUGAAUCAGACCUUGGUCAAGGAACAUUAAACCUUAAACAUUAAAACUGUGUGACUUCCGAAUUCUCCUGAAUAACCUUCCACCUUUUGUGGCUUGCACAAUAUAUUAUCAUAGUAUUAUAUAUAAUGGAAACUAUACUAUCCAAGACAUCCCUGCUGAAUAUUCUCUCUAGCUUUACUUCCUGAUGCUGCUGAGGGGAAUAAAACAACGGAGGAGGUAGGUGGAAGCAGAUGCCAUUUAAGCAGUUUCCUGCUUAUAACAUUUCUUUACAUAUAUGCUUACUUGCUUUGAAAUGUUUGCAUUUAGGUACCAAAAGCAUCAAGCUCAUAACUUCUGGCCUUUACCAAUUGGUUACAGACCUAAGAGAGGUAAGAUGGCCUGGACAUUCAUUUGCAUGCAGCGGCAGGAGUCAAAAGAUGGAGGAGCUCCCUUCCUGAUUCCAGUUUUGCUCCUCUGCCUAAACUCUCACUUACAGAAUCAGACUGUUGACCUUUAGAUGCCUUGGACCUAAGGUGAAGGCCCUCAGAAACAUUCAUGGGCUCACUCACAGUCUCUUCAAUGCUGAAAGAACCACUGUACCAGCCAUCCUAUAAUGGUAGUUUAUUUUGCCAUAUGGGUACCUGAGGAGACUGGGGAGUUUCUUGGGAGAGAUUCUUUGGAAGCCUGGGACCUUUGUAAUGAGGUGCUCUCCAAGGUGCAGUUUUUAGUCACAGGAGAGCCUUUCAUGUGUCAUGAUGCUAAACAACCCAUUUGAGUGAUAUUUUCCCCUCUGAGUUGACAUUUUAAAAUGUAUUGAAUUGACCACUUGUUCUUUCAUUUGUAGGCUUCUCAAGAAAAUAGUUCUAGUCAAAGGUGGCAGUUAAAAACAGGAAAAAACUGGCAGUUGAGACCAAAUAGGAAGUGACUUUGCCAUCAGCUCACACCAAGGAAAAGGAAGUUGCUAGGACCUCUAAGAAAGGCAGUUGUGUAAAAUUACCACCCUUCAACUUGCUUAGCUGAGGCUCUGUCACCCUGUGGUAAAAACUUCCAUGGUUUUGUUACUGCAGUAGUUGAGAGAACGUGAACAGAGUGAGGGAAUAACAGGCACCCCUUGCAGGAAUGUUAUCAGGGACUGCCAGAAGUUUCUAAUGGGGGCAGAAACUCAACAUUGUAAACAAGCAAAGCUCCCAUCCUCUUUUUUUAUCCUGGGCCACAUCAAUAUUUUAAGAUUAGUUAACAUUCAGUAUGUUAUAUCAUGAGGCUCACCACAAGGGUCCAAAUGUAAACUAUAAUGGGGUUUUUUGCUGAAAAAUAGAAGAUAGAAUGUUUUUUAUACUUUCACUUUGGCCCCAGGUCCAGCCUAGGCCACACCACCUUUCCUUAUUUCCCUUACUUUCUCUUCCCUUACUUUCUCCUCCCUUCUUCUUCUUUUUUUUUUUUUUUUUUUACUCACAUAUUUCUUGCACUGUGCUAAGUGCUCGGAAUAUAAAGAAAUGCAAGGAGUUUGCUUUCCCACAGGAGAAUGCAACAAAAAAAAGGAGGAGCAUUCACAGCAAUAAAUGAUGAUAAUAGCAGUCUAUUACUACAACAACAGGCACCAGAGAGCAAUUCAUUUUGCCUCUGUAUAUCCUGGAAGGCUUCACAGAGGAGGUGAUAUUGAGCUAAACCUUGAAAAAUGAGAAGGAGAUAGCCAAGUAGAGAAUUGAGGAUAGGGGAUGGAGAAAAGAAGCCAUUCUAGGCAGAAGGAACAGCAUAAACAAAUGCCUAAACAAGGCCUGUGUAUUUCCCCAUCACCUGGUGACCUGGUUAAAAUACAGUUAUUGCAAUUCAUUUAUCCAGUUCUGAAUUUGUCCAUCCAAGGUAGACAAAGGGCACUUGUAUUUUAUUUUUAAAAAACUCCCCAGGUGAUUAUGUUGUGUACUCUUGGUUAAGAACCUCUAGAACUAGCUGAUAGUUUGAUUUGAUUUUACAGGCAGAAACACAGAGUACAUGAGGUGUCCUAACAGUGAGGCUGGAAGGAUCCAUUAGGGACAGACUGCGAGACUUGUGUGGCAUUCUGAAGAGUUUAUACUUGAUCCCUUAGGCUCUCAGCAGUCUUUUGGGGUUUUUAAGGAAGAAAGGAAUUUGAUCCAGAUUUGUUUUUUCAAAAUAAAACUCUGCUUAGCACAUAAAGGAUAGAUAGAAUAUGGAGGAGAUUAGAAGCAGAGGGACCUAUUAAGAGACCAUUAGGAGGCCAUUGUAAAAGUACAGAAGAGGGACUGAACUAAAUUAAUGGCUGUGAGAAUGAAGAGGAAGGAAUAGAGUCCAGAAACAAAUUACGGUUAGACUCAACAGCAUCCAAUUGAUUGAAUGUGGACAACACCAGAGGGAGAGGUUUAAAACACCAGCGACAUCUAGCUUAGGGAACUGGAUAAAUGUUAAUGCCUGGAACUUCACCAGAGAAUGUAGAAGGGGAACCAGGAUUGGGGAAAUGAUAAGGAAUUCAGUUUGGGUACACCGAGUCUGCAGUGUCUGUACAGCCUCUAAGUGGGGAUAUCCAAAAGGCAGUUGAAAAUAGCGAGAGGUCAGAUUGCAAGUAUAGAUUUGAGAACUGCACAGAGAAAUCCUUUGUAACCUCGUGUCAAGGUGUCAAUAAAGGACAUAAAAAAUAGAAACCAAGUUGGAACUGUUCACUUCCCAUUUAGAAAACCACUUCUUAAAUAAUUGUCCUAUGUUUUGGGCCAGUCAAAUGUGUCCUAUGUUUACUGGCAUCACAUCUAUCUGCAGAAAGCCUACCGUUUCCUUCAAAGUAAUGAUUGUUAACCUCCUGUCUGUGAGAUCGUAUUACUAAGUAUUUCUGCUGUGUUCCUGCAUACAUAGAUUUCCCUUUGAAUGAACGAUAAUGACAGUAAAGAAAAGAAUGGAGUAAAGAACAGAAAUGAUGUGAAGAAAUCUGAAUACUACAUUGCCAGCUUUUCUGGCAACAUGACAUCUACCUUUUGAAAGAUACUACAAUUUCAUGGGGAAAAACAUGGGUUUCAGAGCCAGACAGACCUUAUUAGCUGUGUAACCUUGGUGUUUGAGGCUCAUUUUCUUCAUGUGCAAAAUGGGAAUUAUUAUUACCUACUCCAAAUGGUGACGGUAAGGAUUAAAUGAGUUAAUGAAUAUAAACCACUCUAAUAUGAUGUCUGGUACAAACUUGACACUUCACAAAU